GAUGAAGAACGUAGCGAAAUGCGAUAAUUAAUGUGAAUUGCAGAAUUCUGUGAAUCAUCGAGUCUUUGAACGCACAUUGCGCCUCAUGGCAUUCCGUGAGGCAUGCCCAUCUCAGCGUUAGAAAAUAUUCUCAAAUUUUAGUUUUGUGCUAAAAUUUGGAUCAUGUCAAAGAAGCUAUUACUAUUAUUGUGAUCGCUCUUUGGAAAUUGAUAGGUCUUUGAGUUGUUACUCAUAGAACGUGAUGAAUCUUUCUUCGUUCUAUUGUAAUUCACUCUGGUAGUCCUAAAACUUGUAUGCCUGUGGCAUAUCUUGUAAUUUGACCUGAGAUUGGGUAGGGAUACCCGCUGAACUUAAGCAUAUCAAUAAGCGGAGGA
rnacentral:misc_RNA from 1 species